rnacentral:rRNA from 1 species
AACGAACGCUGGCGGCAUGCCUAACACAUGCAAGUCGAACGAGAUCUUCGGAUCUAGUGGCGCACGGGUGCGUAACGCGUGGGAAUCUGCCCCUUGCUUCGGAAUAACAGUGAGAAAUUACUGCUAAUACCGGAUGAUGUCUUCGGACCAAAGAUUUAUCGGCAAGGGAUGAGCCCGCGUAGGAUUAGGUAGUUGGUGGGGUAAUGGCCUACCAAGCCGACGAUCCUUAGCUGGUCUGAGAGGAUGAUCAGCCACACUGGGACUGAGACACGGCCCAGACUCCUACGGGAGGCAGCAGUGGGGAAUAUUGGACAAUGGGCGAAAGCCUGAUCCAGCAAUGCCGCGUGAGUGAUGAAGGCCUUAGGGUUGUAAAGCUCUUUUACCAGGGAUGAUAAUGACAGUGCCUGGAGAAUAAGCUCCGGCUAACUCCGUG